AUGGUUGGACCUGAUCUCAAAGUGUUGCAAUGCGGGGCCUCCGGGCCGGGCGGGGCGCUGUGGCGCUCGGCCAGUAGGGGGCGCGCGGGAGCGGAGGCCCCACGGGGCGGCCGUGCGCGCGUGCGGCCGCGCGGCUCUGGGCUUCCGCGCGCGCGACGAGCGGAGCGUGGACCCUGCGCCGGCUUCGGCGACCCUCCGGCCCGGAAUUGGGCUCCCCCAGGCGGCCACCUCGGCCGCGGGGCCGCGGAGACUGGGCGCCGGGGCGGAGGCAGGGGACCGGCGAGCGCAGGAGGGUCCCGCCUCGCCGUAUGCAGUGCGCGGGACUGCGCCUCCGCUUUCUGGGGAGACGGGGCGGUGUCAGGACUUGGACUAUGUUCCUGAUUUGUUCAGACUGCCAUGGCUCCAUAUAUAAAGGACAUUCACCAAAAAGGUAAUCUGAAAAGUGUUUGUCAUUAAAUCAUCUUAAGUUCCUAUAUUCAUUGCCAUGUCAAAUUUUAAGAAUGAGAGAUGUUUUUUAAGAACACAGAAUUUUUUCCAGUUCGAAGAUGGUGAAAUAGAAGGACUUGCGAUCAUCUCCUUCUGCAAGAUCACCAAAAUCACAACUAUUGAACAACCAGGGACAGGAAGAUGCUGAAAAUGUUCAUUAGUCAUGUCUGACUCUUUGUAACCCCCAUGGACUGUAGCCCACCAGGCUCCUCUGUCCCUAGAAGUUUCCAGGCAAGAAUACUGGAGUGGGUUGCUAUUUCCUUCUCCAGGGGAUCUUCCUGACCCACGGAUUGAAACCAGAUCUCCCACAUUGCAAGCAGACUCUUUACCAACUGAGCCACCAGGGAAGACCCUGGAGGAUGCUGGUACCUACCAGAAAAAGAUACCCCAUGUCCAAAGAUAAAGAAAAAGCCACUGUGAGAAUGGAGGAGGGGCACAAUCACAAUAAAAUCAAAUCCCAUUCUCUUCAAACUAGAGAACAAUAAUACCAAAGAAGUUCUCCCACUUCUGAAGGUUCUGAAGGUGUGAAAGUUCUGAACCACAUGUCAUACUUCCCAAUCUGGGUAUCUGACAAAGGGACUGGAAAUCCCCAGGGAAUCUUAUCUUGAAGACCAGUGGGAUUUGAUUACAAGACUUCCACAAGACUUCCAGUCUUGGAGGGCACAAACAAAACCUUGCUCACACCAAGACUCAGGGGAAAGGAGCAAUGACCCCACAGAAGAAUGAGUCAAAGCUAUCUGCUAGUGUUGGAGGGUCUCCUGUGAUGUGGAUCAGCAGGGUUUCACUGCAGGGAUGGGGGCACUGGCAACAGUAGUCUAUGAAGGUCACCUUGGUGUAAAUCUUCUUGGAGGUUGCCAUUAACCCAAACAUAGAACCCACAGACCUAUGAAGGCUGGGUCACCUCAGGCUAAAAAUCCCCACCCAUCAUCAGAUAUUUGGAUUGAAGUUUUACUGAGCAAGGCCCUGCCCACCAGAGAAAGACCCAGCUUUUCCCACCACCAGUCCCUCCCAUCAGGAAGCUUACACAAGCCUCUUAGCCUCCUCCAUCAGAGAGCAAGCACAAGAAGAAAGAACCACAGCCAUACAGUGACUAAAACAAAAACCACAUUACAGAAAGUUAAUCAGCAUGAAAAGGCAGAAAGUUAUGUCCCAGAUAAAGGGACAAAAUAAAACUCCAGAAAAACAACUAAAUGAAGUGGAGAUAGGCAAAAUUCCAGAAAAAGAAUUCAGAAUAAUGAUAGUGAAGUUGACUCAGCAUCUUGGAAAAAGAAUGGAGGCAAAGAUUGAGAAGAUGCAAGAAAUGUUUACCAAAGACCUAGAAGACCUAAGGAACAAACCAACAGAGAUGAAUAAUAUACUAGUGAAGCGAAAGUCGCUCAGGCGUGUCUGAUUCUUUGAGACCCCGUGGACUUACAUGGAAUUCUCCAGGCCAGAAUACUGGAGUGGGUAGCCGUUCCCUUCUCCAGGGGAUCACCUCAACCCAGGGAUUGAACCUAGGUCUCCCACAUUGCAGGCAGAUUCUUUACCAGCUGAGCCACAAGGGAAGCCUGAAUAACACACUAGAAGGAAUCAAUAGCAAAAUAACUGAGGCAGAAGAAUGGAUAAAUGACCUGAAAGACAGAAUGGUGGAAAUCACUGCUGCAGAACAGAAUAUAGAAAAAAGAAUGAAAAGAAAUGAAGACAACCUAAGAGACCUCCGGGACAACAUUAAAUAUACCAACAUUCACAUAAUAGGAGUGCCAGAAGGAGAAGAGAGUGAUAAGGCACCUGAGAAAAUAUUUGAAGAGAUAAUAGCUGAAAACUUCCCUAACAUGGGAAAGGAAAUAGUCAACCAAGUCUAGGAAGCACAGAGAGUCCCGGGCAGGAUAAACCCAGUGAGGAACACACUGAGACAUAUAGUAAUCAAACUGACAAAAAUUAAAGGCAGGUAAAAUGUUAAAAGGAACAAGGGAAAAAUAACUAAUAACAUACAAGGGAACUCCCGUCAGGCAAUCAGCUGAUUUCUCAACAGAAACUCUACAAGCCAGAAGGGAAUGGCUUCUGUAAUAUGUUUAAAGUGAUGAAAGGGAAGAACUUACGAGCAAGAAUACUCUACCCAGCAAGACUCUCCUUCAGAUUUGAUGGAGAAAUCAAAAGCUUUCCAGGAAAGCAAAAGUUAAGAUAAUUCAAGGUCACCAAACCAGCUGGACAACAAAUGCUAAAGGAACUUCUCUAGGCAGGAAAUAAAAGAAGGGAUAUACCUAUCUACAGAAAAUAAACCCCAAAAAUUGAAAAAACAGUAAUAGGAUCAUACAUAUAAAUGUAAAUGGAUUAAAUGCAGCAACUAAAAGACUUGCACUUCCACUUACCGCAUCACUGUGCUUGACCCUGUAAAUUGUAUGUAAUUAUUUUAUAUUGUUAGGUUAAUCAUUAAUCAUGUUUCCAUUAUGGUUUGCAACUGUAAUUAUCUUCCCCACCCCCCCCCCCAGCUAUUGAUUGUGAAAACUGAUAAACAUCUUUCACUAUUGUGGAAAAAACAGAACACAGCAUUUUUAUUACUAAUAUUUUAAUUUACUUCUUGACUGCACUUGGUCUUUUUUUUAAUUAACUAAUUCAUUUUAAUUGGAGGAUAAUUUCUUUACAGUAUUGUGGAGGUUAUUGCCCUACAUUGACAUGAAUCACCCACAGGUGUGAUUGUCCUCCAAUCCUGAACACCACUCCAACACCACUCCCACCUCCCUGCCCAUUCCAUCCCCCUGGGUUGUCCCAGAGCACUAGCUUUGAGUGCCCGCUUCAUGCAUCAAACUUGCACUGGUCAUCUAUUUUACAUAUGGUAAUAUUGGAACAACAGACUGGUUCCAAAUAGGAAAAGGAAUACGUCAAGGCUGUAUAUUGUCACCCUGUUUAUUUAACUUAUAUGCAGAGUACAUCAUGAGAAAUGCUGGACUGGAAGAAGCACAAGCUGGAAUCAAGAUUGCCGGA
ensembl:lncRNA